rnacentral:misc_RNA from 1 species
UCUGUGAAAUAAACGUUUUCGUAUCUCAGAUAACUUUCAGGAUCUGUUUCUUCUACAAAGAUUUCAAAUUCUCAUGAAAUAUAAAUGAAAUUUCCCAGGCUGUAUGAUAUUUAUUUUAAAUUAUUUUAUAGUACAUAUAUUAACAUAUACAUACAUAGAAAGAAUGAAAAAGCAUGUAAAGGCAACUGCGUUCAGCUGAGGUUAAAGAGGGGAGAAGCACGCGUCUGCCACGCUCCCAGUGUACACACCUGGGACCAGUUGGCCAGCGAGAGAAAUCUUUUUCACCCUAAAAAUCUACAAACCAAAUCAUUAUAUGUCGAUUAGAAAUUUCUUGUUAUAAACAAACAUGCUUUGAUCCAUCCAUCGGUAUGUUCGUACUCUGUUGUAUUCAGCAAGUUUACGCUCUUAUCAAAAGUAUUACUUUCACGGACAAUAUAUUUCGUUGGCACUGAAAUCGAUCUCACUUGUCAACGACGAAGUUCAGGCUAUUUAUCACAAAGUCAACCAUAGAAGUUAGGAACAUGGAAUCGCCAGGAUGAUCCAAUACUUCGUUUUCCUAAUUUUGUGUGUAACAAGGUUCGAGGGAACUCGUACGAAUUCAUACGACGGAGGAAGUAAAAUUAUUCGAGCGAAUGUCCUUUGAGUUUCGGUGGAAGAGCACCCGUUCGAAGUUCCUUCCUCCACGGGUUUCAAAGAUAUCGUGCUUAAAAAUAUAUACUUAUUAUGUGGUGUAACAUAACGUUUCACGGAUAGAUCGUAUAUUAUUGAAAAAGUAAAUUGUGAAAGACGAGUAGGAAAUAAGGUGUAUACUUAUUUAACGAUAUAGAAUUUCACGGAACAUUAGAGAAUGCCGAAAACACAGGGCAAUGCAUAAGCUUAACCAUCAAGAAGAAAAUCGGCAAACCGCUAAUUGCACCGCAAGGUAAAUAAAACGAAAACGCCGACAGGAAACUGAAAAUAGGCGGAAAACCCGAAAUGGUAUUAAAGUCGCAUUAAACACAUCGGUCGUAACUUCCGGUACAUUUCCGAAAAUACCGAUUUAUUCGAAAUUAAUAUAUAGGGUGUUUUAUUUUUGUCCUGCCAAACGAUGUUAGCAUAUUGUACAAUUAAAAAUAAGAAAAAGAUGUAACGUGAAAUGAAAUAAAAAUAAUUAAU